rnacentral:rRNA from 1 species
AUUGAACGCUGGCGGCAUGCUUUACACAUGCAAGUCGAACGGUAACAGGCCGCAAGGUGCUGACGAGUGGCGAACGGGUGAGUAAUGCAUCGGAACGUGCCCAGUCGUGGGGGAUAACUACUCGAAAGAGUAGCUAAUACCGCAUACGAUCUAUGGAUGAAAGCGGGGGACCGUAAGGCCUCGCGCGAUUGGAGCGGCCGAUGUCAGAUUAGGUAGUUGGUGGGGUAAAGGCUCACCAAGGCAACGAUCUGUAGCUGGUCUGAGAGGACGAUCGGCCACACUGGAACUGAGACACGGUCCAGACUCCUACGGGAGGCAGCAGUAGGGAAUCUUCCGCAAUGGGCGAAAGCCUGACGGAGCAACGCCGCGUGAGUGAUGAAGGUCUUCGGAUCGUAAAACUCUGUUAUUAGGGAAGAACAAAUGUGUAAGUAACUAUGCACGUCUUGACGGUACCUAAUCAGAAAGCCACGGCUAACUACGUG